ensembl:lncRNA
AUUCCAGUUGAGCUAUUUCAAAUCCUGAAAGAUGAUGCUGUGAAAGUGCUGCACUCAAUAUGUCAGCAUAUUUGGAAAACUCAGCAGUGGCCACAGGACUGGAAAAGUAUUCUUGCCUAGAGAAUCCCAGGGACUGGGGAGCCUGGUGGGCUGCCGUCUAUGGUGUUGCACAGAGUCGGACACGAACGAAGCGACUUAGCAGCAGCAGCAGCAGCAGCAAACAAUUAAUGAGCAACUGAACUGAACUGAACUGAAACAGGUAAUAACUUGGUGUUUAAGAACAUACAGUGUUGUGUCAGAAGGGAUUAGAUUUGAAUUGGUGAAACUGUGCUUCAGUUUAAUAAAGUUCAGAAUAUAAUAUCUAGUUCAUAAGGUUGUUAUGUCAAUCAAAAAAGCUAAUGCAUAAAACAAUAACC